GAUGAACGCUAGCGGCGUGCUUAACGCAUGCAAGUCGAACGAGAAGCUCUGAUUCUUCGGAUGAAUGAGUGGAAAGUGGCGAACGGGUGAGUAACACGUUGGUGACCUGCCUCAGAGAGGGGGACAACCAUUGGAAACGAUGGCUAAUACCCCAGAUGUUAACAUAUUUAGAAAGUGUUGACUAAAGCUCCGGCGCUCUGAGAGGGGCCAGCGCCCCAUCAGCUUGUUGGUAAGGUAACGGCUUACCAAGGCUAAGACGGGUAGGGGGCGUGAGAGCGCGACCCCCCACACUGGUACUGAUACACGGACCAGAUACCUACGGGUAGCAGCAGCGAGGAAUAUUGCGCAAUGGGCGAAAGCCUGACGCAGCAACGCCGCGUGGAGGAUGAAGGCCUUCGGGUUGUAAACUCCUUUUAUGGGGAAAUAGAUCGGAAGGUACCCCAAGAAUAAGCUCCGGCUAACUACG
rnacentral:rRNA from 1 species